rnacentral:lncRNA from 1 species
CCCCCCCUCUCCUUGGAGGGACACCCUCACAGACGUCUUGCACCGGGGUCCGUACGGACCCCGGCUUUAAGGAGCUCCUCAGUCACCAAUCGCCGGGUUCGCGCGCCGACCCGCGCCCCAAUGGGUCACCGAAGUGGAUAACUCCCAAACCGCGCCGUUUUGUCCCCAGGUCAGCUAUAUCGUGUACAGCGGAAUGUCGAACAGGAUAAUAACCACAGAGGAACGCGAUAACCGGCUCGCACGUACAGAACGUUUUGCGCGGAUGCCAAGAUGCGUUGCCAACUGGAGCCCGCAAACCCCGCUAGGACUUCACUCAUAAGACACGCAUAAGACACAAGCAGUUCUAUCGUGUAUCGAUAAUCGUGUGUUGAACAUGUAGCGCGACAUGGAAGCCCUCGCGGAGGACGCGCGCAAUUUCAAGACUGCACACGCAGUGGCCAUCGUGCAAUUGUGUUUUAAUGGCCAGAAGAGCUUGGAACAAAGCAGGAACGCAGUGAAAAACUGGAACCAAAUUGAUAAAUGGAAGCUCACGACGCGCAGUUUAGCGUCGGGGCGAAAGCAGCUGGCCGUCACAACACCGGCGGAACUGUCGAAGGUGUUGGAGCGUUGCUCGCGGGGCGGCGCCGAUGCUGCGCUGGUGGCCGAGGUCGGCCAGCGGCUGAACCCCCUGCUGGGCCCAACAGGUAAAGAAAUGGCCAUAGCGAUUGCUAGGUGACGCGAAAUGUCAUUCAUGUCAUUCAUCGUGAGCCAACAAACUUAUGCUCGUGCCAUUGCAUGCAGGCGUGCCCGAGGAAGCCGCAGCCCCAAGCACUGCCGACUUGCCGGCAGCACCAAACCCUGGCCCGGGCGCAGGCGGCACAGCAGGUAGGCAAGUGAUACAAGGGACGGGCUUAUGUCGAAUCCUUCCUGUGCUUUGGUGUGACCUGGUUUCAUCUUCUGCCAUUUAGGUGAUGCGUCCGCCACCAGCCCGCGGCAGCCGCAGCCGCAGCCGCAGCCGCAGCCGCAGCCGCAGCCACACCCGCAGACAGAUGCCAACGCUGCUGCCCGCGAAGGUAUGUUCGGGAGUGAUGCACGCAAUGCGCACCAUCACGACAUAUUGGAGGGGAAGCUGAUGCUGAGCUAAUUCCCCGUGCACUCCAGCGCUCACGAACUUCGUGACGACGCUGUGGAAUGGGCGGGCGCCAGCGCAGGCCAGCGUUGUGGUGCACGGCCUGCUUCCGCACCUCGACAAGGGCCGAUGCCAUGACCUGGUGGUGUGCUGGCAAAAGGAGGGGAAGCUGCGCCUCGGCACAGCUUCCUUCAGGCGGAAGCGCGCCAAGCCAUCCAGGGCGCUGGCUCUCAAUACUCCGGAGGACCUGGUGGCGGUGAUCUUGCGCUGCAAGACUGAAUGCACUGGAGGGCCACAUCUUGCCGGCCUCUUGGCAGCCAUUUACACACGCACCCGGGCUGGGUUGGCUGACAGCGCAGGUGUGUGGGAGGAAGGCUGGGCUCGGUGUGUAACCUGGAUCGCAGCAUCGGAGUCCUUGGCUGCCAGACAGGCUAACCUUGUCGUGCCUUCACCAUAUCUUCCCUGCAGAUGGCACCCACUUCCUGGACUUCACCACGCUCACGCCUGCUGAAACCAAGGCUGCGGCCACCGCUGCGCGUCUGCAGGCGGAGGUGCAGCGGCUGCAGCAGCUCCGGACAGGCAAGCAUAUGCAUGUUGGGCGCUCCCUAAAUUAUGACAACUGUUGUUUUGUUACGGCUUGCGGCCGGCUGAGCGUGCUACUUCGUGUCCAACUCACCCUGCUGUGCAUCCAGAGCGCGGCACUCCGGAUCCUGCUCCUGCACGGCAGCGAGCUGGCGCUGCUGGUGGCGCACAGGCCGGCCCCGACAACGAGCACGUCGCUGGCCUGGAUGGUGGCGGCGGCACCCCUGUGCACCGCCGCCACCCGGAUGGGCUCUGGGCGCGCAGCUGGCGCGGCCGGGGCCGGCGGGCGUGGGAUGUGUGCCGCUGGGCGGUCCGCUGGAACACGCUGCGGCAGUUCCUGACGGUCUAUGUCUGCUGCGCACUGUGCGGCUUCACGGCGUACCCGACUGGCGACGAGAUGGCGAAGUGGGGCUUGCGCACGCCGCGGCCGGGCGAGAGCCCACCGCACGAGCUGUACAACGCGCUGCACUCUGGCGUCAUGGCGGGGCCGGAUGGUUCGUGGAUGCUCUGCCCUACGUGUGCCGGCAAGCAGCAACAGGACGGCCGGGCGGAGCAUGUUGUGUUCCACACGCCAGACUACGCGCGGCAGGUUACACGGCUUGAUCCCUCGCUGCAGAUGCUGCUGUCACUGGUGAACGUGGGCGCGGGGUUUGCAGCCAACGCGAAGGGCUAUUUCACUGCGCGGCUGCAGCAGCCGCAUGCAGUGGGUGCGGCGAUGCUGGCGUGGGACGACAGCGCGUCCGAGCGGGCGCAGCUGGUGCCUGAGGGUGUGCGGGAGGUGCUGGGCUGGAGCCUGGCGUUCAACCCCAUCUACCAGGCGUACCUGUCCGUCAUCGAACAGCGCGGUCCCGAUGCGUCGCAGUCGUUCUUGGGCCCGGAGGCGGUGGCGUCCUUUGCUGCUGAUGCCAUUGCCCGCAGCCCCGUCGCCUACAUGCUGCCGGAGCACAACGAGAUGUGCAAGAGCGUGCUGGCGGCGGUGAUGCCAACACUGCCGCCGCCGCUGUCGCUCCGUGCGCCGCCUACGUCAUACACCGCCGGCACGCUGCACCCACGUGCUGGGCUGCUCGGUGCAGCAGCAGUGGGCGGGGCCCUGGCGGUCGGAGGGAAUGGGCUCACGCAGCCACAGGUCAUCAUCCUGCCGGACGGCUCGGCGGCCGCCUCCUCUGCACCCGUGGGCGGACAGGACCUGCUGCUCACCGCGGAGCUGGCCAUGUUCCCCUACCUAUUCCCCUUUGGCUCUGGCGCCUUUGGAGGCUCGUCCAUGGCGUUCAGCGACUACCUGCAAUUCCGUGCCCGGUGCUUUCUGUCCGUGUGGACACUUGUCCAGCCGUACCUGCUGCUCAUGUUCGCUGUCCGCACAACCACUCAGCUGUAUGGCGGCCACAACACCAAGGUAGGUGCCACCAGUGGGCGGGAUAGGCAGCAUGCGUCAACGACGUAAGUCCAUAUUGUUGCCUGCUUCUGCUGUGACUAGUGGUUACCAGAGAUGGUUAUUGGCCCCGCACUUGCUGCUGGUUGUGGUCUCAGCAGUCUCGCUCCUCCCUGUGCUCUUCCCUGCCCGCCCUGUUCGCAGGUGGUGCUCGAGCGUGCCAUCGCUGAGUACCGCAAACGACAUCCCGAUGCCAAUGACGAAAAGCUGAUCAAGCACAUCAUCAAGUACAGCCUGCCAUCCACCCUGCCCAACACGCCAUCGUGGCACCGCCGCAACCUGCAAGACCUGCUGGCGCUGGUGGACCGGUGGGGCCUGCCCACCCACUUCCUUACGCUCACCGCCGACGAGUUCUCCACGUCCCGCUGGGAAGAGGUGGAAACGCUCGAGGACAUGGUCCGCAAGUGAGUUCCACAGCGCUGGUCAGAGCCUGUGCGCAGAGGGGCAUCACCACGCGUUGUGAACUUGGGCUUGCUUGAGGUGUUUCCUCCAGUCUUACACUGUUGCGCUACGUGUGCCCGUGUGCCCGCUUUCAGGUUCUGCACCAGCGCCACUUGGCGAGAUGCCCCCGCCGAGAAUGCCUACCUGUUUCAUCGCCGUGUCCAGAUGUUCAUGCGCGAGAUGCUGCGCACGCGGCGAGGCGGCAAGUCUGGUGGCAAGGGCGAGUCCGGCGUGCUGGGCCGCGUCCAGCACAACGUGACCCGGUACGAGGUCCAGGGCCGCCAGUCCCUUCACGCCCACAUUCUUCUGUGGGUGCAUCCGGAUGACGUCGACCGUGUCUCAUCUGAGAUCGUCGCGUGUGUCCCUGCAAAGUACGUGGGCAAGGACGGCGUGUGUGAUGAGCACGACCCCAAUUGCCCCAAUGGCCGCGAGUGCUGGGAGGCCCCCAGCGACGACCCGCAUGCGCUCACCCUCUUCGACCACGUGAUGAGCAAGCAGGUCCACUUCUGCACGCCCAUCAAGCGCCCCGGCUGUCGCAAGCAGGGUACCUGCCGCUACGGCUUUCCAUGGAAACCGCACGACUCACCGGUCCCGAUCGUGGACCCUGCCACGCGGCGCUACGUCUACUACCGGCCGAGCUGGGCGCACCGCAACGUGUCGCCGUACCACCCAACAGUGGCGCUGCUGUGGGGCGCGCACAUGAACCUGCAGCGCAUCACCUCAUCAGACUGGAGCUUUUAUGUCCUCAAGUACGCCAUGAAGGUGAGGUUCGGUUAGUUGGUCGUUGCCAGGGCUCAUGCACGUGUUCGAGUAGGAGACAUGAAGCCCAGCUGCCCCCAACUCAUGGCGCCCUGCCUGCUGUGUGCAGACCGAGCCGAGCGGCCACCUGAACCUGACCGACGCAAGCCGUGUUGCGCUGGGCCUUCCCGAGGACCAGCCCGGUGCCGCUUUCAGCACCACGUACCUGGUCAAGAUCAUCUCGGCCUACCUCACCUCCACCGCUCUGAGCCCGACGCUUGCCUUCUUGGGCUGCGCCCAGAUCAACACGGUAGGUCCCCUGGCUACUUGGACGGGCUAAACGGCAAGGUGGAAUCUCAAAGUUACGCUUGACUUGUGUUGGCAUUCGCAUCAGCGUCAGCGUCGCUUUCCUCACGUUCUUUGGGGCUGAUAUUGUCCCUGCGACCCCGUUCAUAUCCCCACUAAUCUACGCCACCUCAUGCGGCCUGGCGACACAGGUCUUCAUGUCCUCGGGCGUGGACUUCGUGUGCAGUGCUCCGCCAACCACACGCACGCGCACGGUUUUCAAGGGCGCGAAGCUGUGCGCCUGCCCUGUGGACAUGUACUCCCUGCGCCCGACCAGCCUGGCGCAUGUGACCUUCACAUCCUACUUCCGCAACUACCGCCUGGUGCCCGCGAAGGCGCCGCGCGGCUGGAGAGCUGGUGCGCAGCGCACGGCGGUUGGCCUUACAGCCGCGGCCGCUGUGGCAACAGCGACCGCUGGCGGAUUGGCGGCGGUUGCCACCGGUGGGCUGGGCGCUGCAGCUGCUCUUGGCGUCGCCGCCGCGGCAGGCGCGGCCGGGGCAACCGUUGCCAGGGCGGCCGCACGAGCAGCUGGGGCCGCGGCAGCAACGGAGCGGGACGGGCCUGUGCUACGGCAGGCGCCGCCGGGCGGGGAGUUGGUGGGUCCAACCCAGGACCGCCACUUCAACGUCUACAAGCUGCGCGAGCCCCGCAUCGUGCGGUUCUCCGACUACAACCCCGCCUCCGACCCCGAGGGCUACUUCUACAAUCUCCUGCUGCAGCAGGCGCCCUUCACCAAGGAGUCCGACCUGAUCUCCGCUGAGAAUGACUCCCGCACCUACUUUGAGGAGUGCCGCCUGCGGAAGCUGGUGCAGAACACCAGCGACCUGGAGGUGCACCUGCAGAGGUGAGGCGGGCCAAGCCGGGGGCAGGCCCACCAGCUGGUCAUACGUUCCUUCCCCGUUUGGCAUUGCAUCUUGUUGCCAUCCCUGUUCCUUAGGUACCCAUGUGCACACCCGUGUCCGCUCCAUUGCACUGACACCCGCCUCUGUGCGCCCCCCGCCGCUGACCAUGCAGCUAUGCGAACUACCACCUCUACAACGCCCAGCGUCGGCAGGCGCUGCUGGCCACGCUGCUUGGCAAGUACACGCCGUCUGAGGCCACCGAUGAUGGCGACGAGCUGAACCCGGAGGCCACGGCCUUUACUGUCAGCUAUGGCGGGCUGCGGGACCCUCCCCAGGCCGCUGCCCGACCGGCCCGUGGAGGGGCUGCCACUGCCGCUGCGGCGCGGGGGGACUCCGCUGCCCUCAAGGCGGCGCUGGCGGCGGAGUUUGAGGAACUCGACACUGUACCAUACACGGACGCGCAGGACGCCACGGUUGAGGCCAUCCUGCGCCACCAAGCAGGCGUCAUUGUGCUCACGGGCGGGCCGGGCAGCGGCAAGACCUUCACCACCAAGAAGCUCACGCGCCAGCUGCGGCAGAUGGGCAAGACCGUCAUGCUGACCGCCAGCACCGGCGCCGCAGCCGUGCGCCUCAGCGCCUUCGCGACCACCAACCACGGCGCCUUCGACCUGCCCUGCGGCACCGGCGCCAUGUCCAGCUGGGUCAUGGGCAGCUCGGAUGUGCACCCCAAGGCGGAGGCAUUGCGUGCAGCCGACGUGUUCAUCAUCGACGAGUUCUCCAUGAUGACGGAUGCACAGCUCACCCUUGUCCUCACCCGCAUCUUCCACGCCUGCCAUUACGCCACGCUCGACGAGAUGCUGGCCAACAAGCUGAUCAUCCUGGUCGGCGACCACGCUCAGGUGUGUGUCGCGUUGGGCAAACAGAGAGCAUGCGGGCACAUACGCGCUAACGGCAGAUUGUCUCAAACCUCCAGGUGUCAGCUUCUCUUCCUGCACACCUUCAUGUGCCCCUGUGUGCCCCGCUUCAUGCCCUCCCCAACGCAGCUGCCGCCCGUCUGCAACUGCGCUGCGAGGGCGGGCCACUCUGCUGCCGUGCUGCGCGCGGCGGCCCCUCAGGAUGCUGCUGCUGGGCCCGAUGACCUACCGCUGUGUGAGUCCUGCCACAUCGCGUCCAACCCCUUCUUUGGCCUGGCGCCCAAGUACCGGCUGCCCGCCUCGGUGCGCCACGCCAAGGACCCGGAGUUUGCUGCCUUCCUGGACAUCAUCCGCGUGCGCCCGCCCACAGCCGAUGAGCUUGAGGCGGUGUUCGGGCGGUGGAGCCCCGCAGCUACACUGACGCCCACCAGCGCGGACCCGGCGGCCUGCAGCCCCUAUUACAUCUCUGAGGACAUGGUGGCGCUCCUGUCCGACGAGCGCACCACAGUGCUGUGCACGCACGUAGAGGACGCCAAGGCCUACAACCACGCCAUCCUGGAACGCCUGGCCGCCACCGGCGCGGUGGGCAGCGUCCAGCCCUGCCCACUGCAACACGAUGUGCCGGCGCGCUCGGUGGCUGAGGUGGGCCUGGAGACCUGGCUGCGCGACGCAUCCUUCCGGACCAUCGAGCAGGUAGCGGUGGGCGCGCGCGUGGUGCUGGUGGAGAACUGUGACCUGCACAAGGGCGCCGCCAACGGCGCAGCAGGAGUGGUCAUUGAGCUCAGCUACCAGACACGCGAUGACGGUGUGCAGCUGGUGUCGGGAGUCAAGGUGCGGCUGACGGGCAGCGGCAAGUGCCUGUGGAUUGGGCGGCGCACCAGCAAGUACAACUGGUUCAGCGGCGUCAAGUACAGCAAGCACGCCUUUCCGCUCACACUGGGCUGGGCCAUCACCGCUCACCGCGCUCAGGUGCGGGCCGGAGCAGGGAAGGGGGGGGAACACAGGCCAAAUGCUGUCACCCACUGCCGAUAUGCCGCGCUCCCUGCCUGACCUCGCCUACCUGCCUGCCUAACUUUGUGCCUCCCUGCUCAAUCCCAGGGAGCCACGCUCAGCGGCGGCACCAUCAUCCACGCACGGAGUGUGUUCACGCCCGGCCAGCUGUACGUCAUGCUGUCGCGUGUGACGGAGCGCCGGCUGCUGCGCCUGGUGGGCCCGCUCCGGCCUGAGCUGUUCACACCGGUGCGGCUGCCCAACUUCGUGCAGAUCGACGCGCUGGCGGAGAAGCAGCGCGCCAUGCAGGCUGCUGCAUUUGCGGCAGCGGCGACCGCUGUGCUACUUGCGGCGGCUGCGCCCCCUCCCGCGGUGCCAGCCAUGGAGCCGAUGGACAUUGAUGGCCUGGACUAGGCUAAAUUGCGCUGCCAACACCUGCAUUCAUUGUCCCUUGACAUUCAUUAUUGACACGUUUGCGGUUGUGGUUUUCAUGCCAUGGAGUUCGCGCAUUGGUAUUCCGGUGUGCGCACGAUGGAUGCGAGUUUCCAGUAUGUGCCCAUGAGUCUUUUGGCGGCAGUAUGCUGCUGAUGCUUGGCGCCUUCCUUCUGCUUGCUCUGCGCCUUCCUUCUGCUUGCUUUGCUGUUGCACCUGGCUGUCAUGGGUGGCUGGGUGUCGAGUGAAGAUGCCAGCAGUGCAUUCCGCUGUGUGUUUUGCUGCUGUGGACCAGGUGCGAACACUGCUGCAUUGAACCUGCAAGGAGUCCUUGCUGUUGUGGGUUACACGGCGCACUGCUUUUGGUGCCUAGGUAGGGUCGCGCUUGACCAAUGCUGGUGGGCUCACCUGGGCUGCUGAUGCCUGGCGCCAGCUUGACAGCUGUGCAGCAUGUGCAUCACACGUCCUGUGUACGCCAAAACCUUCGCUGUAUCACCUCGCUGACAUGGGAUGCAUCACAAGACUCGGCCUCCAUCACCAACCUGCCGGCGGUGCGCACUUCGGCACCCGGCGGGCCGACCUCACUCCCCAAACCCAAUAAGUGACCCCUGAGGCCUUGCCUUGCAGCCGGUUUACCAAUUACAAUUCGAGUGCAAGGAAUACAGCGCGGGCGAGCACAGGACCGGGGUUUCGCACCCCACAAAAUCCAGAUCCAAAUCACAUCACAGACUCCUUUGCAGCGGUCCGACAGGGCCGCCUUUAAGACGCCCCUCAGUCACCAAUCGCCGGGAUCGCGCGCCGACCCAGGCCCCAAUGGGUCACCGAAGUGGAUCCCCCCCAAAAUCGCCCCGUUUAGCCCCGCAAUUAACACCAUAUAAUACAAACGUAUUAAAAAGGAAUGCACAACUCAAUAACAGAGCGAGAGCGAGCGCCAGCGAUGAAUUCCCACCUCCCCAGAUCCAAACCAAAUCCAAACUCACAACACAGACGUCUAGCAGCGGCCCCCGUACCGGGGCCGCCUUUAUGCUGCCAGGGUAUAUGGACGAAAUGGACAUGAAAAACGACCCUGGGUCAAUUUGCACGACUACCUGAAUACCGCGUUUGGCCGCCCGCGAGUUCCCGAGAUGGAAUCCCCCCGUUGCACAGACCGCCAAAGUCGCGCCCGUUUGGCGAGCUCGCCGCAGGAGCGUGACUUCAUUGUUUUGCCAUACUUCCUCAAUAGCGCGAUUUGUGAGCCGCGAACUCGUGCAGACCGAAGCCCGUCUUCAACAGUUUUCCGCAGUUCCCCGGCGUGCCUGUGGGUGCUUUGCACGGGGCGCCACCGCACGUUGACAGGACAGAUUUUGCACAGACGUGUUUGGCACGCACCGCACAGCCACGUAAGCAGUAAGCACAUAAGCCGCGGUGCCGACUGGGCGGAGCGGCAGAACGCGGCGGGGAACCAGAGAUAGCGAGGGCGCCGAGGAAGCGGAUCGACUUUGGAUCGAGCAGAAUGGCGGAGCAAGCAAGACCGCCUCUCUAAGCCUAAGCUUGCUAAAGAAGUGUUUGAGAUAUAAUAGAGUAUUAGUUGAGCAAUUCUACAGUGCCAGACGAGGGCUGUCUGCCUCAAGCUGUCGGGACAGGCACAAGGCCACGAGAAGCGCAAGCGACGCGCAGGCUUGGUGCGGCCGGCUUUUAGUAGAUAAUAGUAUUAUGUUGACAAGGGUCCCGCGGCCGAAUAGCGAGCGCUAGGCGGUAGGCCUAGCGCUGGGCCUAGACGGCUGAGAACUUUGCGGAUGCGCAAGAGAACGCCGCUGGUGAAGCGCGGCUGUGUUUGGGAGCUGAAAGGGUAUUAGUUGCGCGCAGCGAUGCGGACGCUGGCGCGGUGUGCGCGUAUGGGGCCCGAUGGGCCUUUAGUGAAGUUGGUAGCACGUAGGCCUCUCGGUGCAGUUGCGUAGCACUUGCGGUUUGGGGCCUAGGCCCGUACGACCUGUACGGGUCCCAUCCGGCCAAUGCAGGGGCCGAGGGCAAGAUAUAAGCGAGCGAGCUGUGCUGUGUCAGUCACUCCGCCACUACGGCGCGGUCACUCCUGAGCAAUCAUAGGAGUCACUCUCAACAAGACUCUUUAAUUACGAGUCUCUAGUAUUGUAAUACAAGUUGGACAAAGAACGAUCCCUUGUAUCGCGGCCCCUUGCGCCCGGCGCGAAGUCGCCCGCUCGCGCAAGUCUAGGCUAGCCUUUCCCCUCCCCCACAGGGUGCCUCCCGGCACGACCAAGUACCCGUUCGAAGCCCCCUUCCCCCUCCCCUUACUAUCUCUCACCUACUCCGGUUCAUCCGAGCCCCAGACUCUCCCCUCUCCCCUACCCCACACCGCUGUGCCUGUUGCCCCCGACCUAUCCCCGUAAGUCCUGAGCCGUUACCCGCAGCCCGUCAGUGAUAGCCAAGGCCCCUGCCCACACUAGGGUCAAGAGUACCCCUACCCGCAUAGCGUACGCCAGUGAAGAGCCUCUGCGCCGGGUUGCAUACGUGUAGUGUCUGGCAGCGAUUAGGUACAGCAGCUGAUAGCAGGGCGAGCUGGGAGCGAGCCAGAGCAGGGUCCGGUUCGGUAGUUGGGCCUGAGCCCGUUCGGUUAGUGGCAGUAGCAGGGAGUGAGGGAGACAGAGACGGGCGUCAGAUAGCGUGAGAUAGUACAGGGCCUGGGCCUAGGCAGUGGGGCGGACGGCAUUGGACCGGGCACGCACGCCUUGUCUGCGGGUUGGGUCGUCGGGGGCUCUCCCCCCCCUUCCCUUGGGGUGUUCGCCUCCCCUGCCCCAGAUUGCAGGUCGACUGCGACACCUCUGGUCUGAAGAAGUUUUGCUUAUCCCUGCACCUGGUCUACCUGACCUGCGUGUGACCAAGUCCCCGACACGCCGUGCCGGCUUGCGGGACCUGCUUGCUUUCCUGUCUCCCCUCUCUUCUCCCUUCCUGUCUCUACCACCCGCCGCGUGCCCCGCACGCGAAGGGGAACUCCAGCUCCCGCCAGCGGCGGUGACUCUACUCGGGCAACCCGACCGACCUUAUCUCUCUAAUCUCUGAUUACCCUGGGCGGCAAGGUUGAGUGAGACAGCCUUUGCCAUGGCUGUGCGCCUGCACGCACGCCACCCAUCCGGCUCUGUACGAGCCCCUGCUCCUGUUAUCCAACCCGCCUAGACCAAACAGCGAAGCCCCUCCCGUGAGUAAAACAGCUACCGACGUCCCCAUACGGCGGCGCUGGGCACUGCUGGGAUCGAAGAGCCCCCUCUACGGCACGCGAUCUGCCCCGACAGCUAUUGACACGCGGCGAUAAAGUUAGGCGAAAAAAGUGUCCUGUCAUCUCUGGGGGGUCGGCACGCCUUUGUUGGUUUCGCUACCGGGACUUCUUCCAUCCCCCAGUAGCCACUCAUGUCAGACGAAGAUGGCUUUCCCCGCCGAGCGCGGCCUAGCGCUUUCCAUACCGAUCUGCAAGGACUUGACUAUGAACGUAUCACCCAACACUGCGAGCGCUUCGACCCGCAGUGGCAUUCUGUGCGUGAUUGGCUGGAGUCCGUAGAUGAGUUGGCAGAGGAAUUCGGUUGGACUGAGUCACGAAAGCUCCAACUUGCCUCUAAACGGCUUGGCCCCACGGCCAAGGAGUGGUACCGGUCAUGGAAGCUAGCCAACCCCAUGGCAUCGUCCACUUGGGAGGGCUUCUGUGACGCCCUGCGCGAGCGCUGGGGUGUGUCAGACCGCGAGCUGCAUCUGGCCCUCGCCAACUGCACACAAGGCCCCAAGGAGACGGUGCGCGAGUACGCCGACCGUUACCUGGGCCUCGUGACCCAACUGCGCCUCGACUAUAACCGUGACCCUACCCACAUGCACAACUUCAUGAGGGGCUUGCAUCCCGACAUCUACGACUCCGUGUACGACAUGGAGCCGCACAACCUAACCGCUGCCAUCCGCAAGGCGAUCUACGCCAGCGAGAAGGGCAAGCUGUCCAAGGCCGACGGCCGAUCUGACAGCGAGGAGCGGCGAGUGCGCUUUGCUGAUCGAUCGCCCAGCAACGAGCCACGCCACAGCAAUGGCUCUAGCACCGCUCCUCCCCGCUACAGCCGGCCCUUUGCCGCAACUGUUACUGUUGUCAUCCCCACUCAACCUUCGCCCGCAUUUGAUUGCCCUUGCAGCGCCCUCACCCCGCAACUGUUACUGUUGUCAUCCCCACUCAACCUUCGCCCGCAUUUGAUUGCCCUUGCAGCGCCCUCACAGAUGCACAAGUAUAGCUGCCGCUUCCUUGGGGCAGCGACCCUCCGGGUCGGUGAUUAAAGCUAAUUGGCAUGACCGCCGAGACAGCCGGGAUACCCGGUCGGACCAAGGCCCACGCAUGGCCAACCGAGGGCCUAACAACAGCAGUGCUGGGCGUGGGGGCGGCGGGGUUGAAGACCUCAGCAACCGCAUGUCACGCAUGCAGCUGCUGCACCGCCGCACCCCCAGCCGCACCCUGCUGUUCCAGGCGGCCCGCCCGCUCUACAGCCCAUACAGGGACGCUUACGCCCUGGGCUACGAGAGCGAGGACAGCGGCGGUGUCAUGUCACCGCAAGGCCCAACCACCGCUCCCGUCUCCUACUACACUAAUGCUGAGGCUUACACCAAACGAGUGGGCGACUUCGAGCCCAUCACCCUGCCUCGCAAAAGAGUGCCAGUCCCCAUCCCCGGGCCCGAGCCCAUGGAGGUGGACCGCCUAGCCCCUCGCCGCUUCACCGCGGGCCACGCUGACCAACGCCGGGAGCGUGAGCAGCGGCCGGCCGCUGCCGCCCCUGCCAGCUCGGCCGCUGCGCCGGCUGCAGGCGACGGGCAAGGCCUCCGUGCCCCAGCUGGGUUGGAGGCCCGCCCUACGGGACGGCGGCCUACCCCCGGGCGGGGCCGGACACAGGCCACAACCCCCGCCCACGCUCCAACCAGGGCUCGCAGCCCCGCGGCUGAUCCCGCCGCCCCUGCAGCCCGUCCUCCCCGCACGGACCCUAUUCCGACGGGCGAUGCGGGAGAAGAGGAGAGGCGAGUGGCCGAUGAGAUCUGCGCCAAGAUCAACGCAUACCCCAUCCCCUUGUCGCGGGCGCUGCGAGUCAACCCCGCAAACAUCUACACCAAGAUUGGUGGACGGCUGAUUGGUCUGGGGCGACAGCACUCCCGGGAACUGCCGACACCCGUUGCUGCCGCUCCACCAACCCGACCCCCAACCCGCGCCCCGGCUGCCGCUCCUACUACCCGGAGCCCCAAAGCAACCGCCCCGGGGCCCCCGGGCCACCCCGCUGCUCACGCCCACCGGGCCACGGCAGCGACCUUGACCCCGGUGGUAUCUGGAGGCGAGUGGGACGUGGUUGAGGCCGAGGUGCUCCUGGGCAAGGCCGAUGGCAAGUUUAUCCGUGCUCGAGCAGUCGUGGACACCGGUGCUAGCAACACCGUGAUUCCACGGGUGACGCUACGGCGCCUGGGCCGAGUGGAGGAUAUCGAGCCCGCCGAGCAGACCUUCACCAACGCUGAUGGGGUGAGGUCUGAGUCCGGUGGACUGGUGCGCAACCUGGUGAUCGCCACGGGUGACAUGGUUAGCACGGUGGACGCGUACGUGAGCGACGCCACCAGCUACGUCAUCCUGCUAGGGUCUGACUUCCUGGCACCCAUCAAGGCUGACAUCAGCUACCGCAAGAAGAUGUUGGAAUACACCAACGACCUAGGGAGGCGCAGUGCCCUUCCCAUCCGCUACCACUUUCCUCCGACCCCCAUGGCAUGCAUGGUGGGGCGGCGGGCGCGAGUGGUCAGCGACCCCCCAAGCGAGGGCGAGGAGGCUGCCGCUCCGGCCCCCCCAGCCCCGGCAACACGGAGCGCCUCGAGGCCUCGCCCCUCGCCGUUUGCGCCUUGCCAAGUGCCAGGAUAUGUGGUGCCCGGUCCGUCCCCGGUACUGCCUCCAGUACCCCCGCCGCUGACAGGCGCGGAGACCCUGGAGCUGGCCGGCAUCCUAGACAGCAUGCUGUCGCACGCAUCACCCACGGCGGAGACCGCCCGCUCCGCUGGGGCGCGGCGUGUCUGCAUGCACCGAGUACUGGACACCAUGGAUAACGGGUCCCCCAGGGCAUCCAGCCUCAGCAGUCACCCUCGUGAAGACUGGCCCUUGGACAUGGAGGCUGAACUGGACGCCCUGGUAGCUGGGCGGCCCAUGGAAGACACGUCCAUCGACGAGCAACGGUGGCAAGACAUCCAGGAUGGCCGGGCUCCCCUGCCCCUGUCCCAACCUCGCAGCCCAGACCGCAGGGCUCCCAACCCCAGCGGCGGUACCAAUGCUGGGCCCCUGACCGAGCAGGCCAACUCUUUGCAGUACCCGCCAGGUGACCCAGUAGGUUCACCGGACGGGCAUGAGGAGGCUCAGCGACUGCUAACGGAAUUGGCGGCUGGGCAGGGCUCACCCGAAAAGGUGGCAAGAGUGGCUCGCAUCCUACACUGGACGGCGUCACGAGAGCUGCAGGUGUUGCAGGCCGCGGCAUUCCUAGCCGGGGCCCGCGAGCUGGCGCGCGAGAGCAGCACCGACUCCCACACCGAUGACACGUGGUGGGAGGAUCUGCCAUUGGGCCCACCACCGCGCUCCGUAAGCAGCACGGUAACUACUGAGCUGGAUCCGAACCCCUCGGCCAACACCCAGGAGGAGGAGGGUGCUACUGAAGAAAAUGAGGAGGGGGCUACCCGCCCCAACGAUCCCUGCAAGCCUCCUCCGGCUUGUGGCUAUGACCCUGAGGGGGACGCAGGAGGGGCGGCUCCCCCUUCCCGGGCUUUUCUAACCCGCCAGGGCCAGGAGAGCGGGGUAACAUGGGAUGACUGCGAAGACCCCUUUCUCCCGCCCCUGGAUCCACUGAGCAUGCCAGGCGACUCGACACCCGACGAUGCGAGCGCACCAACCUUCCAUGCGGAUUAUGUGUCUGACACCGAAUCUGACGGGCCUCCAUCACUUAUGGACGCCAGCGACUCCGGCAGCGACGAGGAAAGCAGGGGCGAGGAGCCAGCCCUCCCCCGGCGGGCCUCUCACUACCCCCGCUUCCUCGUCAGCUACUCGGCCUAUAGGGGCCAAAACCCACACGAGCCGGGCCACUCCCGCGUCUGCGUGGCCCUAGGCCGGCAAGACGGCUUCCUGUCUGACGUGGCUAGCGGCAGCACCUUAUCCGCGGGCUACGAGGCCCCUCUGCUGGAUUCAGAUUCAGGGAGCGGGCCGCCCUCCCCAGUCACCAGCGCUCACUUCGCCUCCCCUGCACCGUCCGGGGCAAAACUGGAUGCCUCAGGCACGCCCCAAACCCCACGCACGUCCCUCCCCACGUUGGCCGACGUGCUGCUACAGCGGCCCACCAAGGAGGAGGUGCUGCGCUUGUCCCCAACCCAGCACCUGCUGGCCGCUCGGGAAUAUGGCCAGCGCGUGAGGGGCACACAGGGAGAGCUUCCGGCUGACGACGAGCGGCGGCAACUGCUACUCGCAACCCUCAGCCCGGACCUGACUCCGGAGCACUCAACCGCUCUGGCGAAGGUGCUCUUGGACAAUUACGACGUAUUUGCAGCAUCCAACCAGGACCUGUCCGUCACCAGCUGGCUGGAAGCGAGUAUCGACACCGGGGAUGCGGCACCAGUGUGCACCAACCCCUACCGGCUUAGCAAGGGCGAGCGGGACGCGCUGGAGGCAGAGGUGCAGAAGAUGCUGGCCUCUGGGGUUAUCCAACCCAGCUCGUCGGAAUGGUGCUCCCCCAUGGUGAUGGUGAAGAAGCGGCCGGCAGGCAGCGACAAGGCCGGCGGAGGCGCCGCGGACGCGCCCCCGGUCCCACCCCAGUGGCGCGCCUGCAUCGACCUCCGCGCUGUGAACGACUUGACCAAACCCCUUCGCUUCCCCAUGCCCCACGUCCAAACUAUGAUAGACACGGUGGCACCGCCGAUGGGCGAAAAGCGGAUUUACUCCACCGUAGACCUCAUCGCCGGCUUCUGGCAGGUGCCUGUCCGCCAAGAAGACCGAUGCAAGCUUGCUUUCCAGGCGCCCUCUGGGCUCUACGAGUUUACGGUGCUUCCGAUGGGAGCCAGGCAGUCCCCGGCGCUUUUCCAGCGCCUUCUGAGUCUGAUCCUGCGCCCUAUCCUCUUUUACGGCCCCGGAGAGAGCACACCAGGCAAGUGCUGCGCGCUGUUCAUCGACGAUAUCUGCGUCGCGAGCAAGGACCCAGUCCAGCACGCAGAGGACCUGCAGAAUAUGUUCGACUGCCUGCGCCUGGCUAACCUGAAGAUGUCUAUCAAGAAGUGCCACUUUGCGACAACAGAGAUUGAGUUCCUGGGCCAUGCCAUUUCGGGAGCGACGGGCCAGUACACCCUGGCCCCCCGCAAUGCCGAGGCAAUUCGCAAUUACCCAAAGCUAAAGACCGUGCGCCAGAUCAAGGCCUUCCUUGGUCUCGCGAACUAUUACCGGUCAAUGGUACCCAACUUUGCGCUUAUAAGCCGACCGCUAUACGACUGCUUAGGCAAGCUCGGUUACCAGUGGGGGCCUGAGCAGCAGGCGGCGUUUGAGCAAUUGAAGACUGCCCUUACGACUGAGCCCGUACUGCGUGCCGCCGAUGUCACCCGCCCCUUCCGGUUGGCCACCGACUUCAGCUGCAACGCCGUGGGCGCGUGCCUGUUGCAGCUGGACGACGACAGCCGGGAGUAUGCAGUCUCCUACGCCAGUAAGCGGCUUACUGGAGCAGAAACACGCUGGUCCAGCACGGACGGCGAGGCUUAUGCCGCUGUGUGGGCAGUGAAGAAGUACCACGAGUACCUGGCGUCAGCACGCUUUCAGCUGAUCACGGACAACACGGCGCUCACAUACAUCAUGCGGGCCAAGGACCUGACAGGCAAGCUGGCCCGAUACGCUUUACGGCUGCAGGGCUAUGACAUGGAGAUUGUGCACCGACCUGGAACGAAACACGGAAACGUGGACGGGCUGAGCCGGCUGGGGCACCUGGCAGAGGACGGGGGCAGGGAGGACACAGGCGACGCGGAGGGGUCUGGUGGCGACCAGGGGCUCAGCACCGAGCUGCUGACUAGCUCCGCCUCACCGGGCCCCCUUGCGGGCUAUGUCGCCACCGCGCACCGUCAGCCUAACGGGCGUAUGUCCACUUUCCUGGCCGGACGCUCUCUGUCCCAGGAAUUCGAGCAGGUGUGGUCACUGCCUGCCGCACGAAGCCACCGGGAGGUGCGCAUCUUCAUGCGGCGGGCGACGUCAGGGCAGGUGGGCGAGCAGAAAGCAGCCGGGCGGGCAGGGCCCUCGCAGCCGUCGGCGGAGGCGGACCGCGCCGCAGCCGGCCCGUCCACCACUCGUGAGGAUGGAGCGGCAGAGGUUCCAGGGGGUGAGGGGGCCGGGCCUGGCAGCCCAGCGGCAGCAGGGUCGGCCCCGCCCGGGGCUGAGCCCCAAGCCGGCCACCCUGCCUCACCCUUACAGCGGCUGCUGGCGAUGUGUCGCUCCCCCAACCCCCUGAGCCCCGGCAAGCGUAGCCGCAACGCCCCGCCCCAACCGGCGCCGCAGACCACCUCCCUACGCAGUCCGUCCGGGGAGCCUCUGCGCCGGCGGCGGCUGCCGCAGCCACCUGCGCACCUUCAGGACUACACCGAGCAGGGUGAAUCGGAGGAGGGCGAGAGCCCCAAAUGCAC